AUGACGUCAAGUCAGCAUGGCCUUUAUAUCCUGGGCUACACACACGCUACAAUGGGAAGGGACAAUAGGUUGCGAAGCCGCGAGGCGGAGCCAAUCCAGCAAAACUUCCCUCAGUUCAGAUUGCAGGCUGCAACUCGCCUGCAUGAAGUUGGAGUUGCUAGUAACCGCAGGUCAGCAAUACUGCGGUGAAUACGUUCCCGGGUCUU
rnacentral:rRNA from 1 species